UACGAAGGGGGCUAGCGUUGCUCGGAAUGACUGGGCGUAAAGGGCGCGUAGGCGGAUGGCACAGUCAGAUGUGAAAUUCCCGGGCUUAACCUGGGGGCUGCAUUUGAUACGUGUUGUCUUGAGUUCGGAAGAGGGUCGUGGAAUUCCCAGUGUAGAGGUGAAAUUCGUAGAUAUUCGCAAGAACACCAGUGGCGAAGGCGGCUCACUGGUCCGGUACUGACGCUGAGGUGCGAAAGCGUGGGGAGCAAACAGG
rnacentral:rRNA from 1 species